rnacentral:rRNA from 1 species
GUACCGGACGAACGUUAUUCGGAAUUACUGGGCUUAAAGAGUGCGUAGGCGGCUUUGCAGGUGGGGUGUGAAAGCCCACGGCUCAACCGUGGAAUGGCGCUCCAAACCGCAAGGCUUGAGGAAGACAGAGGUGAGCGGAACUGAUGGUGGAGCGGUGAAAUGCGUUGAUAUCAUCAGGAACACCCGUGGCGAAGGCGGCUCACUGGGUCUUAUCUGACGCUGAGGCACGAAAGCUAGGGGAGCGAACGGGAUUAGAUACCCCGGUAGUCCUAGCUGUAAACGAUGAGCACUAGAUCGUGGGGACCUCCACAUCCUCUCGGUCGUAGCGAAAGUGUUAAGUGCUCCGCCUGGGGAGUAUGGUCGCAAGGCUGAA